UCUGAUAAACUCGCUGGAUCAUUAACAGGCAGUUUUGGCUGCACUCCAAAUGCCUGUGCAUAUGUCUCAUCAAACUCCUCAAACAUAGACUUCCGAAAAGCAAAAACUGUUGCCUUAUUCUUAACAAAAUCAAUAGUACUCUGAUCACACCCUUGUGGCCCCAAAGCCAACUGCUUCACAAAAGCAAUAGUCUCGCUAGGCUGAAACCCAUCCCGAGCUUUCUUAAUCUGAUUUGCCGAGUAAACUCCUCUUGGCUCAUAAUCUGGCACAUCAACCUCAAAAUACCCUUGCACAUUAGUUGGCCUAAAAUUAUACUUAUUUCUACACCUACAAGCCAAACCAAGCCCACGCCUUCUGCUCAUCUCAUCCACAGCCUCCUCCACAGCUUUGACAAAAUUCCUUGAAUUUGUUUGCUGAGAUUUUUCAGCAAAAUAGGGAUCAAAAGGAAUAAGCUCAGCUGGGUCGAACCAUCCAUAACUACUAUCCCCAAAGAAUGCAACUAACACAUAACCCUCCCUCCUGGUGCGCCUAACAGAAGAUGAUGCAAAGGCCUCAUUAAAAAUAUGCCCUGGCCACCAUGGGUGUGAUUUCACCUUCCCCCACACCAUAUCACCCACUUCAAACCCAUAACUCAAUGCCCUAGAUGCUCCCGCCAUGGCCUCAUGCUUCUCAUUGGCAACAAAAUCAUCGAACUCAGACAUAAAGGAAUUAUAAACCUCUCCCUUCGCAUUACCUCUAGAUACAGCACAUCGGUCAUUUUGUAGGUCGAAUUGAACAAAACUUGGGUUUUUCUCGUUUUUCACUUCAAAAACCCUAGAUUCUUCUUCCAUUUCCUCGUCUAC
rnacentral:misc_RNA from 1 species